rnacentral:rRNA from 1 species
AAAACGGGUGAGUAACACGUUGCUACCUACCCCUAAGUCAGGGAUAACUUAUCGAAAGAUAAGCUAAUACCGGAUAUGCUGGCAACAGUAAAGAUUUAUCGCUUAGGGAGGGGGCUGCGGUCUAUCAGCUAGUUGGUGAGGUAAAAGCUCACCAAGGCAAUGACGGAUAGCUGGUUUGAGAGGAUGAUCAGCCACAAUGGAACUGAGACACGGUCCAUACUCCUACGGGAGGCAGCAGUGAGGAAUAUUCCACAAUGGACGCAAGUCUGAUGGAGCGACACCGCGUGGGGGAAGACGGCCUAACGGUUGUAAACUUCUUUUCUGGAGGAAGAUAAUGACGGUACUCCAGGAAUAAGGGACGGCUAACUACGUGCCAGCAGCCGCGGUAAUACGUAGGUCCCAAGCGUUGUCCGGAAUUACUGGGUGUAAAGGGUAUGUAGGCGGAAUAGCAAGUUGGACAUGAAAGGCCAGGGCUCAACCCUGUGCUUGUGUUCAAAACUGCUAAUCUAGAGGGAGGAAGGGGUAAGCGGAAUUAUGUGUGUAGGGGUGCAAUCCGUAGAUACACAUAAGAACACCAAAAGCGAAGGCAGCUUACUGGUACUCUCCUGACGCUGAGAUACGAAAGCGUGGGUAGCGAAAAGGAUUAGAUACCCUUGUAGUCCACGCCCUAAACGAUGACAACUAAGUGUUGGUCUAUGGAUCAGUGCUGAAGCUAACGCGUUAAGUUGUCCACCUGAGGACUACGGUCGCAAGACUAAAACUCAAAGGAAUAGACGGGGACCCACACAAGCAGUGGAUCAUGUUGUUUAAUUCGAUAAUGAACGGGGAAUCUUACCUAGACUUGACAUGCCAGGAAUUUUUCGGAAACGAAGAAGUGCCCGAAAGGGAAUCUGGAUACAGGUGCUGCAUGGUUGUCGUCAGCUCGUGCCUUGAGGUGUUCGGUUAAGUCCGUUAACGAGCGCAACCCAUGUCGUUAGUUAUUAUGUCUAACGAGACUGCCUAGGUUAACUAGGAGGAAGGUGUGGAUGACGUCAAAUCAGCAUGGCUCUUACGUCUAGGGCUACAAACAUGAUACAAUGGUCGAUACAAAGAGAGGCAAUAUGGCGACAUGGAGCAAAUCUCAAAAAGUCGAUCUAAGUCCGGAUUGGAGUCUGAAACUCGACUCCAUGAAGUUGGAAUUGCUAGUAAUCGUGAAUCAGAUAUGUCACGGUGAAUGUGUUCCUGGGUCUUGUACUCACCGCCCGUCACGGCAUGGAAGGUGGUAAUAUCGGAAGCUCCUUUAGCAAAAAGGAACCAUGGUAGGACCACUGACUGGGCUGAAGUCGUAACAAGGUA